rnacentral:rRNA from 1 species
CCCCAGUAAACGGCGGCCGUAACUAUAACGGUCCUAAGGUAGCGAAAUUCCUUGUCGGGUAAGUUCCGACCUGCACGAAUGGCGUAAUGAUGGCCAGGCUGUCUCCACCCGAGACUCAGUGAAAUUGAACUCGCUGUGAAGAUGCAGUGUACCCGCGGCAAGACGGAAAGACCCCGUGAACCUUUACUAUAGCUUGACACUGAACAUUGAGCCUUGAUGUGUAGGAUAGGUGGGAGGCUUUGAAGUGUGGACGCCAGUCUGCAUGGAGCCAACCUUGAAAUACCACCCUUUAACGUUUGAUGUUCUAACCUAGGCCCAUAAACUGGGUCGGGGACCGUGUCUGGUGGGUAGUUUGACUGGGGCGGUCUCCUCCUAAAGAGUAACGGAGGAGCACGAAGGUUGGCUAAGCAUGGUCGGACAUCAUGCGGUUAGUGCAAAGGCAUAAGCCAGCUUGACUGCGAGAGUGACGGCUCGAGCAGGUACGAAAGUAGGUCUUAGUGAUCCGGUGGUUCUGAAUGGAAGGGCCAUCGCUCAACGGAUAAAAGGUACUCCGGGGAUAACAGGCUGAUACCGCCCAAGAGUUCAUAUCGACGGCGGUGUUUGGCACCUCGAUGUCGGCUCAUCACAUCCUGGGGCUGAAGUAGGUCCCAAGGGUAUGGCUGUUCGCCAUUUAAAGUGGUACGCGAGCUGGGUUUAGAACGUCGUGAGACAGUUCGGUCCCUAUCUGCCGUGGGCGUUGGAAGAUUGAGAGGGGUUGCUCCUAGUACGAGAGGACCGGAGUGAACGCACCACUGGUGUUCGGGUUGUCAUGCCAAUGGCAUUGCCCGGUAGCUAAGUGCGGAAGAGAUAACCGCUGAAAGCAUCUAAGCGGGAAACUUGCCUCGAGAUGAGUCUUCCCUGUCGCUUUAAGCGACCUAAAGGAACGUUUAAGACUAAGACGUUGAUAGGCUGGGUGUGUAAGCGUAGCGAUACGUUGAGCUAACCAGUACUAAUGAACCGUGAGGCUUAACCUGACAACACCGAA